rnacentral:SRP_RNA from 1 species
UCUGGGUGUGGUGGCACAUGGCUGCAGCCCCAGCCACUCUGGAGGCUGAGGUGGGAGUAUUGUUUGAGCCCAGGAGUUCUGGGCUGUACUGCACUAUGCCAAUAGGGUAUCCACACUAAGUAUGGUGUCAGUAUGAUGAUUUCCCUGGAACAGGGGGCUAUAAGUUUCCUAAAGAGGGGUGAAGCAUCCCAGGGUGGAAACAGAGCAGGUCAAAACUCCCAUGCUAAUCAAAUGUGGAAUUGUGCCUGUGAAUAGCCACUGCACUCAGUCUGGGUGACAUAGUGAGACCCUAUAUCU